UGGGGAAUAUUGCACAAUGGGCGCAAGCCUGAUGCAGCCAUGCCGCGUGUAUGAAGAAGGCCUUCGGGUUGUAAAGCACUUUCAGCGGGGAGGAAGGCGGUGAGGUUAAUAACCUCAUCGAUUGACGUUACCCGCAGAAGAAGCACCGGCUAACUCCGUGCCAGCAGCCGCGGUAAUACGGAGGGUGCAAGCGUUAAUCGGAAUUACUGGGCGUAAAGCGCACGCAGGCGGUCUGUCAAGUCGGAUGUGAAAUCCCCGGGCUCAACCUGGGAACUGCAUUCGAAACUGGCAGGCUAGAGUCUUGUAGAGGGGGGUAGAAUUCCAGGUGUAGCGGUGAAAUGCGUAGAGAUCUGGAGGAAUACCGGUGGCGAAAGCGGCCCCCUGGACAAAGACUGACGCUCAGGUGCGAAAGCGUGGGGAGCAAACAGG
rnacentral:rRNA from 1 species